rnacentral:tRNA from 1 species
GGUGGAGUGGCCGAGCGGUUUAGGCGGAGGUCUGCAAAACCUUUUACGGCGGUUCGAAUCCGUCCUCACACCUCAA